rnacentral:tRNA from 1 species
GGGCAUUUGGUCUAGUGGUAUGAUUCUCGCUUAGGGUGCGAGAGGUCCCAAGUUCGACUCUUGGAAUGCCCC